rnacentral:misc_RNA from 1 species
AAGUCGUAACAAGGUUUCCGUAGGUGAACCUGCGGAAGGAUCAUUACCGAGUUCAUGGGCGUUCUAACCGGACCCCAAGCUCCCACCCUUUGUGUACCGUACCUUGUUGCUUUGGCGGGCCUGCGCGCCUUGAAAAGGCGCGCUGCUGGCCCUGCUGGCUUGCGCCCGCCAGAGGCUCAUCAAACUCCCGUUUUUAUCAGUGCCGUCUGAGUACAAACCUAACAAGUUUAAAACUUUCAACAACGGAUCUCUUGGUUCUG